rnacentral:misc_RNA from 1 species
GAUGAAGAACGUAGCGAAAUGCGAUAAGUAAUGCGAAUUGCAGAAUCCGUGAGUCAUCGAAUCUUUGAACGCACAUUGCGCCCGCAAGUAUUCUGGCGGGCAUGCCUGUUCGAGCGUCAUUUCAACCCUCAAGCCCCCGGGCUUGGUGUUGGGGAUCGGCGUGCCCUCGCGGCGCGCCGUCCCCUAAAUCUAGUGGCGGUCUCGCUGUAGCUUCCUCUGCGUAGUAGCAACACUCGCACUGGAUCGCAGCGCGGCCACGCCGUUAAACCCCCCACUUCUGAAAGUUUGACCUCGGAUCAGGUAGGAAUACCCGCUGAACUUAAGCAUAUCAAUAAGCGGAGGA